rnacentral:rRNA from 1 species
ACGCUCGACACCUACGGCAGGCAGCAGUGGGGAAUAUUGCACAAUGGGGGAAACCCUGAUGCAGCAACGCCGCGUGAAGGAAGACGGUUUUCGGAUUGUAAACUUCUGUUCUUAGUGAAGAUAGUGACGGUAGCUAAGGAGCAAGCCACGGCUAACUACGUGCCAGUAGCCGCGGUAAUCUGAGCGGGCUGGCAAGGC